CGUUCUAAGAGUCGGGUAGUUUGGGAUUGCUGCCCUAAGCGGGAGGUAGACUCCUCCUAAGGCUAAAUAUUAACGAGAGACCGAUAGUGGACAAGUACUGUGAAGGAAAGAUGAAAAGAACUUUGGAAAGAGAGUUAAAAGACUUGAAACCGUUGAGGAGGAAGCAGUGUGCU
rnacentral:rRNA from 1 species